GUUUCUAAUCUGGCUGCCAGGCACAGACGGCACGUCUGCAGCACCUGCCAGCCCACGCACUGGCCUGCCUGGACAUCACAAGUGACCAGGGUUACUCGGCACUAUCAUAUCUCUCAAAGAAGAAACAACUCCUCCAACGGCAACAUCUGUGGGGCUGCUUUUGAACUAUCAGCAAUUCAUUUGAGCAAGAGCUGGGAGCAUUUUUCCCCUGGGCCUGAUCAUGAGGAAGUGUUUGCCCCUCUGGAGGACACAGCAACAAGGACCAUCUUGGAAGCAGAGACCUGGCCCUCACCAGACACCAUACCUGCCGGCACCUUGAUCUUGAACUUCUCAGCCUCCAGAAGUGUGAGAAAUACAUUUCUAUUAUUAUUAAAUUACUCAGGCUAAA
ensembl:lncRNA novel transcript